rnacentral:tRNA from 1 species
GUCUCAGUAGCAUAGUGGUUAGUGAACAGGCACGGAUAGGUUGAGACGCGGGUUCGAAUCCCGCUUGAAAUG